AAAAGAGAUGUUCAUAUGCAAUGGACAGAACAUUUGAACAUGUUAUAUACUAUUUGGUUUUUGGAGUUAAGUCAUUUUCAUGCGUGGCUAGCUUUUCAAUGAAAGUUUUUUGGAGCCUUAACCUAUAGGAGCAUAGAGGUUCAAUACCUGAGGAAUUGUAGAUGACUUUUCUUUCACAGAUUUCCAAUUCUUUGGCCGCAGUGGGGGAGAUGGUGAACCAAAUUGGAAAGCCGUAGAUUAGCACCGGUCUAAUAGCCACCUUAUAGAGCAGUAGUUUAGUGGACUGCGGCAAGUAUUUACUAUUUAGUAUAUAUGAAAAUGACCCCAAAAUUCUUCUCGUCUUUUGCAGUACUUAUAUUCUAACAAUCUAUCCACAGAUGUUCAAUUUAUCGUUUGCGAAUUUACCUUGGAUCUUUAUCGACUUUUUUUUGCAGAAAAGUCAAAGUCGACUUAAGUGUCUAAAAAAUCCUUAUGCAUAAUCAUGGCUGAGUUAUUAAAAGGUUGUUUCAUUUGUACAAAAACAGGGGUGUUUUAUUUGCCCAUUAA
rnacentral:sRNA from 1 species